UGCACAGACUGCCUUAAAGAUGGCAUAUAAGAUGCUUUUUGAUUAACUCUGCAAUUUACACUGAAUAUAAGAACAUGACCCAAAAUCUUUAUUGGUUCAAUGCUUUUAAUCAAUAAUAAAUAAAGGGAAUAUAUCAAUUGCAAUAUUUAGAAA